AGCGAACGCUGGCGGCAUGCCUAACACAUGCAAGUCGCACGGGGGGGCUUCGGCCUCCCAGUGGCGGACGGGUGAGGAACGCGUAGGGACCUGUCGAGGGGUGGGGGAUAACCGCGGGAAACUGCGGCUAAUACCGCAUGACGCCGCGGCGUGACAGCCGGGGCCAAAGGCGAAAGCCGCCCGCCGAGGGGCCUGCGUCCGAUUAGCUGGUUGGCGGGGUAGCGGCCCACCAAGGCGUCGAUCGGUAGCUGGUCUGAGAGGGUGAUCAGCCACACCGGGACUGAGACACGGCCCGGACUCCUACGGGAGGCAGCAGUGGGGAAUAUUGGACAAUGGGCGCAAGCCUGAUCCAGCAAUGCCGCGUGGGUGAAGAAGGUCUUCGGAUUGUAAAGCCCUUUCGGCGGGGACGAGGGUGACGGUACCCGCAGAAGAAGCCCCGGCUAACUUCGUG
rnacentral:rRNA from 1 species